rnacentral:rRNA from 1 species
AGAGUUUGAUCCUGGCUCAGAAUGAACGCUGGCGGCGUGCUUAACACAUGCAAGUCGAACGAGAAAGCUUUAGCUUGCUAGGGCGAGUAAAGUGGCGCACGGGUGAGUAACGCGUGGGUAAUCUGCCUUUGAAUUUGGGAUAACACUUCGAAAGGGGUGCUAAUACCGGAUAAUAUCCUUAUCAUUGUGGUGAUAAGGAUCAAAGAUAGCCUCUACAUGUAAGCUAUUGUUUGAAGAUGAGCCCGCGUACCAUUAGCUUGUUGGUGGGGUAAUGGCCUACCAAGGCGACGAUGGUUAGCUGGUCUGAGAGGAUGAUCAGCCACACUGGAACUGGAACACGGUCCAGACUCCUACGGGAGGCAGCAGUGAGGAAUUUUGCGCAAUGGGGGAAACCCUGACGCAGCAACGCCGCGUGAGUGAUGAAGGAUUUCGGUUCGUAAAGCUCUGUCAAGUGGGAAGAACCUAUUUAAUGUUAAUCGCAUUAGGUACUGACGGUACCACUGAAGGAAGCACCGGCUAACUCCGUGCCAGCAGCCGCGGUAAUACGGAGGGUGCAAGCGUUAUUCGGAUUUACUGGGCGUAAAGGGCGCGUAGGCGGCCGGAUAAGUCAGAUGUGAAAGCCCGGGGCUCAACCCCGGAAGUGCAUUUGAAACUGUUUGGCUUGAGUAUGGUAGAGGGAAGUGGAAUUCCUGGUGUAGCGGUGAAAUGCGUAGAUAUCAGGAGGAACACCGGUGGCGAAGGCGACUUCCUGGACCAAUACUGACGCUGAGGCGCGAAGGUGUGGGGAGCAAACAGGAUUAGAUACCCUGGUAGUCCACACAGUAAACGGUGAUCACUAGGUGUUGCGGGUAUUGACCCCUGCAGUGCCGCAGCUAACGCAUUAAGUGAUCCGCCUGGGGAGUACGGUCGCAAGAUUAAAACUCAAAGGAAUUGACGGG